GUUUUCGGCAUCGUUACUUUGUGGAAAUUAGAGUGCUCAAAGCAAGCCAUCGCUCUGGAUACAUUAGCAUGGGAUAACAUCAUAGGAUUCCGGUCCUAUUGUGUUGGCCUUCGGGAUCGGAGUAAUGAUUAAUAGGGACAGUCGGGGGCAUUCG
rnacentral:ncRNA from 1 species